UUUUCGGUUCGCAAUGGAAAUCCUUUUUUAUAAUUUUCAAAAUAUAAAAAAGAUUGUAAUGGAAAGAGUGAAGAAUU
rnacentral:sRNA from 1 species